UGCAUUACAACCUAAAAUAUCAUCUCUAUUCACUUAUUAAUAGGCUGAGGAAUAUCCAUGUUUAUUCUUAAAAUAAGGUAUUCAUGUUAUGGCAUUCAAAGUGCUUUUCAAGAUUGUUAUUAAUAGUUCACAAGUUCCAUUACCUUUCAAUGGCUUUAAGAGCAACCAUGACUCAUCAUCAACCUAUAUAUGUUCCAACAAAUCCUCAUGUAGCAGAACUGUUGCCUCCAGCUAUUGUUGUUACAAAGACUGAUUAUUAUUUGAGAAGAUUAUGGGGUGCACCCUUAGAGGUUAACAAAAAGAGAAACGAUCUGAAGCAAUAGAUAAAUUCUACCAUGUUGGCUGCCACUAUGGACAACAAGAAGGAUUCAAUGACACUUUUUGGGUUGAAAAUACAUACACCCAAAUGUCCAACAACUGCACCUUCUCAGCUUCUUGAUCCUUUUCAAAGAGGCGCUUCACCGGCAACUUAAUCAUGGGUCAGGAGUUUGUUGCCGAUUGUUUUUCUUUGAGUACGAUUAUACCAAAUUGUUACACAUUGAUUACUUAAUUCAUAUCUUGACAAAUGAGUUUGUUUAUAAUCAAAUGCACCAUUAAAAAAAGGGGAAAAACUCCUGAGAGUCCUGACCCAUGCAAAGCAUGGGCCCUUUUCUAGUUAGUUAUUAUAGGUUCUAUUAUCUUCUAAAGUUGUGAAUUUGGAAUAAGACGCCGAAAUGUUUGAAAAUAUAUUACAGAAAAUAUUUAAAUAGUUGAUGUAGUUGUUCAAUUGAUAGAAACAUUUCUACUGUUUAAUUUUUUUUGAGUUCCGUUAAUUUUUGUAAUUAUUAGUUAUUAUAGGUUCUAUUAUCUUCUAAAGUUGUGAAAUUGGAAUAAUAUGCCGAAAUGUUUGAAAAUAUAUUACAUAAAAUAUGUAGAUAGUUGAUGUGGUUGUUCAAUCAUGUUUAGUCAUUGAAAAUUUUUUUUGUCCACAUUUUCCCAUUAAACUUGUUUUUGUUGUCCAUAUCUUACCUUAUGACUGGUUGGUGUGGGUUUAACCGGUUUCCAGCGGUCUUUGCAUUUCCGACGAGACUCCGGUCAUCUUCUCCGACAAGUCUCCGGCCAAGAUGAUUUUUCCGGCGAGUUGUAACACACAAAUUAUGUUUUGCCGGAAAAAUCAUGAACAUCGGAGUCUCGCCGGAGAAAAUGACUAGAGACUCGCCGGAAACCGGUUAAACUUAUGAUUGCAGGUCAUAAGGAUGUUUUUUGAACAGUUCAACAAGUUCAAUCGGAAAAUAUAGACAAAAAAAAAACUCGAUGACUAAACGUGUACAUAUCGAAAAAUAUGUUACCUUUUUAAGUCAUUAUCCCUUAAGAUAUUUAUGUUUUCUUUGUUAUGUAAAAUUAUAAAUCAUUGAUUUAUAAGAAUAAAUGAAUACGUUUAAGUCAUGUAACUGUGUUUAUGAAUCACUUGCAGAACUUAUCGUUGAUUGAAAAGAAUACAACUUGAAAUGAAGAGUGACUGAGGAAAUUUAGUGUUGAUCGAAAAGAAUACAACUUGAAAUGAAGAGUGACUGAGGAAAUUUAGUGUUUGAUAGUCUGUAUUAUUGUAGAAAUAAAAAUAUCAUUAGUUAAUGGGAUAAAAAAUAGAGUGGAAAUCAAAAUCUCCUCAUUUAUGUGA